rnacentral:rRNA from 1 species
CCCCCAGCUUGCUGGGGUGAUUAGUCGCGAACGGGUGAGUAACACGUGAGUAACCUGCCCCUGACUCUGGGAUAAGCCCGGGAAACUGGGUCUAAUACUGGAUAUACACCGUGGACCGCAUGGUCCUUGGUGGAAAGAUUUUUUGGUCAGGGAUGGACUCGCGGCCUAUCAGCUUGUUGGUGAGGUAAUGGCUCACCAAGGCGACGACGGGUAGCCGGCCUGAGAGGGUGACCGGCCACACUGGGACUGAGACACGGCCCAGACUCCUACGGGAGGCAGCAGUGGGGAAUAUUGCACAAUGGGCGAAAGCCUGAUGCAGCGACGCCGCGUGAGGGAUGACGGCCUUCGGGUUGUAAACCUCUUUCAGUAGGGAAGAAGCGAAAGUGACGGUACCUGCAGAAGAAGCGCCGGCUAACUACGUGCCAGCAGCCGCGGUAAUACGUAGGGCGCAAGCGUUAUCCGGAAUUAUUGGGCGUAAAGAGCUCGUAGGCGGUUUGUCGCGUCUGCCGUGAAAGUCCGAGGCUCAACCUCGGAUCUGCGGUGGGUACGGGCAGACUAGAGUGAUGUAGGGGAGACUGGAAUUCCUGGUGUAGCGGUGAAAUGCGCAGAUAUCAGGAGGAACACCGAUGGCGAAGGCAGGUCUCUGGGCAUUAACUGACGCUGAGGAGCGAAAGCAUGGGGAGCGAACAGGAUUAGAUACCCUGGUAGUCCAUGCCGUAAACGUUGGGCACUAGGUGUGGGGGACAUUCCACGUUUUCCGCGCCGUAGCUAACGCAUUAAGUGCCCCGCCUGGGGAGUACGGCCGCAAGGCUAAAACUCAAGGAAUUGACGGGGGCCC